ACUAUAGUUCGUUUUACUUUCCCCACUACUCUGAGAAGUACAUGUGUCUGUGUGCACUUUAUUUAGAGUGGAUGUUAAAGUUUGUGUAGUUAUGUGGGACGGCUCACCUGUGACAGCACAGGGGGUGUGAAAUGACUCAACAGUUCCACUGUUUGAGCUCAGGAGUUAUAAUUAAUUUAUAUUCUGGGACAUUUGUUGCUUUGUUGCCAUUGUUCAGCAUGAGGAUCAGUGACAUUUUCACAGUGUUACGUUUAUUUUACAUAGCUUUAUUUUGAAUUUCCCUUUUUUAAAAUCUCUGAUUCUUGCUGAUUUAGCUUGAACCUUUUGGUUUUUAUUUCUUCUGUGCUCCACUUGGAAUAUACAUAUAAUUUGCAUGUUCCUCUGAUCUCAAUAUUAAAAUAUGCUUUUAGACACUGACAUUAAAGCUGUAGCAAGGCAGAGCACAGUCUGAUUCUAACUUGGAGGUAGAAGGAGUAGAUAAGCAAUUUCAGUUAUAGACUCAUAGAGAUGUUAUAAAUGAGGUUGUUAAUAUUGGAUUUUCAUCAAUGGUAGCAUUACGCAGGCCGCUCCUGCAGGGCGAGGCCGUGCAGAGGGCUUCAGUGUCAUAAGUUGGCAGCUGAGCCAAAACCAGAGCCUUAUCCUCAAAUGAACUCUCCACGACGUACGGUGUAAGAGACUCUGCCAAGUUUUUUGAAUUCCUGCCACAUGUUGGAUGGUAAACAACUGACUUGCAGAAACAGUGUCUUAGAGGAUCAGGAGCUAAGGAACUCGACAUUUUACAGAUGAACCAUGCAUUUGUCUACUCUUUUGUUUGAUUUAUAUUCAGCUUGUAGUUGUGGUGGCGUUUUAUGCUUGCAGCGACUGCAAUUGGUUAAAAAACGUGGCGAGAUGUGACGUCACAGGAUUCAAGCUGAUGAGUGUUUGGUGCUCGACCUAUUUUUCUCAUCAGGGGACAAGAGAGCAUUAAUUUCCUGAUAAAGUAUAUAAAAAUGAUCAGUCGGCUAUUGUUUUACCCUGGUAAUCUGAUUUUGGUCUCACUUGUUUUUUCAAAAGUUUGCGUUUGUCCUUUGGCUCGCUUUGUUAUGCGGAUGGUACAGUAGUAUUACACACAACACAAAGAAGUUAAGUUUUAUGUGAGACUGUGAAAAGCUGAGAGUUAGACAAGUGCACUCUUUUACUCUAUUUUUCUCUACAAUUUGUCCUCUGAGGUAGAAAUAUAGGCAGCAAUGUAACGCCUUUUCUUUCAGCCUUCAAGACAGAGAGUGAGGAGGAAAAGGAGACUGCAACUAACCAAGCGACCAUAUUAGUUUGUGCUCAGUUGCUCAGACUCGCACUGUUCUUCGUCUACUUUUCCCUGGUCUAAACAUGCAUGAAAAAACUGUUCAGUCAAUAUGUGGAGGGUUUUCCGCCUUUCAUUCCUUUAAUUUUUUUUCAUUGUCUUCCUAAGACUGAGCUGUGAAGAUAGAUUGCAAUCAAGACUGAUUAGCUGUUCUCCAUGAUGUGAGAUCCAUCAUUUAGUGGGACAGUUUUCUCUUUCCCCCUCUCUUUUGUACAUCUGCUACUUUAGGGAAAGAAAAGGGUAAAAAAAAAAAAAAAAACUGGUGUUGGAGUUCUGGUUUCUUUUCGGAAAGCUUGGGAGGGGAAUUGCAUCCAAAAGACAGAAAGUUGUUUUUUGCCAUGAGGAAAUCUGUUGCAGCUACAAGGUUUUACAACAUUUCGGCUACAGACACGUUUUUCUUGAGGGGGUGGGGUGGAUGACGGUAACCAGACCAGUGUAACCUUCAACAUGCUCAUCCAACGGUUAGUAGGUGUGUGUGACACAGGGAGAAAGUGAAAGACAGCAGGGUUAGUAUCUGGUACCAAAAACUUAAAGAAAUCCUCCUUAUGUAAGUUUAAACAAGCACUAGUUGGUCAUAGCAGAGCUGUUUAUUACUGCAUGCUAUAGCAGUGCUACUGAGAGGACAAGAAAGGGUGGGAGACAGAACAGGCUGGACACUAAAGGGGAAGGUAGGGGGAGGAGGAGGAGGGUGCAGGACACGAGCAGAGUCAUCAGCAGAGUCCAUUUUAUCGUUCGGUUACUGCCCGACAUUUCUCUUCUCCUUGUUCGCAUGCAGUAGCACUGCUGCAGUUUGCAGGAGGGCGAGGGUGGCCUAGUAAUGGCACAUGGCAGGCGCAAUGCGGUAAAUAUUACAGGAUUUUACAGCUUGGUUCAUUGUUGCAAUCGUGGCAGACCGGUCGCACCCAGGUGCUUAUAUGACUUUGAUCGUGUGCCAAAUCAGUCCGUGUAGCUCAUUAAUGUUCCUGUGUUUAGCAGGAAGAGGCAGUAAUCAAAAUUCUAGUCAUCAUACCUGACAUUCUUUCUGGCCUUUAUAAGGGGAGUGUUGUUCCUUGCUGUCUGAAACUUUUUGUAAGAUCAAAUGGUAGAUAUAACUCUCAGAUUCAUUGUUAAUAUUUCCCUUCAGCCUCAAAGUUAGGUGUUGUAAGUUGUCCCAGAAUCCUUUAAUCAUUUCUGAGUAUGUAUCCUCCUCAGGACAAGCACAAUGCCCCCCCCCCCCAGCUCUUCCCACCCUGCCUGCCUUUGUGCGCAUGCACAUCGUACAGAGCCAGUGAUGAAAACACGUACUGCGCACACACUCCCUUACGUCCUAUUUCAUCAUCAGCUGAGCUCUUUUUCCUCCACUCACAGCUCUUCUCCCGUCCUUCUCUGCGCCCCCCACCCCUUAGCUCUCGCUUCUUUUUCUAUCCAUCGCUCUCCUCCUCUUCUCUCCCUGGGUCCUGGCCACAUGCGAGAGGGUAGACUAGGACGCUGCAGCUCUAAAAAAAAAAAAAAAAAAAAAAAUAGGGGAAAAACGCUCUGCUGCUAUUUCAACAGGCUGGCCCUCCCCUUUAGUUACUCUGUGCCAAAAGAGGGAGGGAUCUUUUACUACUCCCAGACCCAGGAUUUUAACCCUCUGCCUGCUCUCACUUCUCUCGGCAAGAUCUGUUCCUCAGUAUCAUGCAACAAGUGGCUCUGCUUUACUCCCUUUUCAACAUUGCUGCACCAUUUGUGGAGUUGUUUUUGGGAACCUUUGUUUUCACACGUAUUUGGUUUAGAUUUUGCUUCUUUGGGGUUAUCAGUAUGGAGAAACUGGACUUGACAGAAUCAGUGGUUUUGCUUUAUUCCCUACUGAGAUGCAAAGACCUUUUGAGCAUGUGUUUCUUUAUGGCUCGCCAUGCCUCCUUUUUCUUGUCCUUACCGUAGCUGAGGACGAAGACGAUAUUCAAGGACCAGCUGCUUGGUUUUGUGUUGCCUGAGAAUUUAUCUCGAAUUCGGCAGAUCAUUUCUCUUGUAUUUUCCUGUCUUAUCUUCUCUCCCCUCCACCUUCCAUCUGUGUAAACCUGUCCUUCUUUUGGUUAUCUGCCCCACCCUCUCCUCCUCAUGCUCCCUCUCCCUCUCAUGGGCAGUCUCCAGUGAAAGGGGAGCAGGAGGGUGGAGCAGCGAUGGGGCUUUUUCUGGGACAGGUGCCAAUUCCUAACAAAAGACACAAAAAGCCAAAAAAAAAAAAAAAAAAAAAAAAAAAAAAUGGAGAGAUCAUUCCCAGCUAUGGUGAAGAGUUUGCAUGUUCCGAGAACUGAUCUGUAAUAACACAUGUCUUACUAUCCUCCUCAUGGCGGACUUUUUUUUUUAAUUGCAUGAGUGAGCAGCAGCAGAAAUCUUGAACCCCCCCCCCCCCCCUCCCCAUAUCUCUUGGCUCUCUUGCUCCCGUGAAGGCAUUUGAGUUUUGAGCGGGGAUAAGAGGAGGGGCUGUUGGAGUUGGGAAGAGGCAACGGGAGGAGGAGCCAUUCCUCCUCUCCUCCCUGCCGAGUCUUCUGCAUUAUUCAUAUGCCCGGGCCAGAGCUGCGAUCUGACUGGCUGUCUGGUGUAGCAUUCAUCCGACAUUCAGCAGCUCUGUUUGCUAACAUUCCUCAUUCAAAGCCUUGUUAACUGCCAGACGGGAGGAACACGCGACUCCAUGGGAAACCCACAUGGCCUCCCCAUUGUGGCGGGUCCUGACAGUCUCAGACUUGGGGGUAGAGGACAGUGGAGAGCGAGAUGGGUUGGCUGGUGAAUAUUAGAAAACGGUUAGCUGAGGUUAGAGGAGGCGUAGAGUCUGGUUUGGGGCAAGGUGCUCAGACUGUCAGGGUAAAUCCCUAACAGAGGGGUAGACAGACAUAUAGAAAAGGCACUGAGGCAGACAGGGAGGCUGAUACUUUCUGGGACUCUAAAUGGGUCUCUCGUUGGUGUGCCCGCCUACUCCUUGCAGGGAGUGCAGAGCUGUGUGACUGAAGCCGAGCUCCGUCUGUGCCCUUCUUUACAGGAAGGAUAUGUGGGCAUACUGUGUGCAACUACUGAUCGGUCUGGCACAAUGAAUGGCAAAGAUUUUUCCUGGGUAGCUGAUUGCUGUGGAGUCUACCAGUUCCCUCAAAGUCUCAGUGGCUUCAAGAUGAAGAAACCCGAGAGGAGGGAAGCUGACAGACUGCACAGACCUGAUGCCGCUGGGGGCUGGUGACCUGCCAGUUCCUACUGACACACAGGAAGUAUUCUAACUACAUUAUUUGAAUUGCAACAAUUAAUGCAUGAAGACCUGUUAAUGAUAACAUCUAGCUGCAGUUUUUUUUUUUUUUUUUUUAUUCUUGCAUCAGUUUCUGGAAGCUCAGGUUUACAGUAGAUUGAUAGAAAUGAAAAAUUAAUAUUUAUAUUAAAAUGUUCUGUAGCUGUUUGAUUCGCCCUAAUGUUACAUCUUAUAGUGCUUAUGUUGCCCCAGAUUUGGGAAAAAUAAACACCCAUUAUCAUCUUUGUUUGUCAUACAAUUGACCUUGUUUAAAAUGAACAAAUCAGUUGAAAAUGUUUUCUAUUGUUUUGUGUUCCUUCAGGUCAAAGAUCAGUUGUGUACUAAAAGAUGCUUGCAGCAGAUAAACGGUCCUUUGGGGUGAGGUAGUAGGUUGUAUAGUUUUAGGGUCAUUCCCAAGCUGUCAGAUGACUAUACAACUUACUGUCUUUCCUGAAGCGACUGUUAAGGCAUCAUUAUCUUCAUCAUUACUCCAAAAAGAAAUAUGACUUCAAAGAAAAUCUUCAUUUGGAGUUGGACUCAUUAAACGUUUCAUCCAAGUGUUACAGUGAAGUGAGAAACAGAUUUUGUGGACAUUUCUUUAUAAUCUGAUUACAAUUCAACUUAUUGUUUUUAAUAAAGUAAACGUUAAUGUAGCGGAAAAGCAGGCAAGUUAGAUACCAGCGAUGUUUACUGUGUAGGAUGUUCAUUUUUAUUGCUCAUCAUUGAGAAUUUGUCAUAAUCAGACAUUUUUUAAUGAUUUUAUGUAAAUUGCUAUUUAAAGUAAAAGAUUUUUGGAUUGUUCUGACAGAUGAACUGUAAGUCUUAAGUAUUUAAAUUGUUCUUGCUGUGACUUAGUGCUUUAUAAAUUGUGGACAUUAAUAUUAAUUUUUUUCCAGUAAAGUACACGUGUACCUAACUGUAUCUCUGUAAUAACAAAGUAGUUUUGUCUUCCAUUAUCCAAUGGUAACAAAGGAGUUCUGCACAAAACAUCAAGUCUACCUCCUCUCCCCACCCACCUGGGUGACUCAUGGUGUUCGCACAGGGUGAGGUAGUAGGUUGUGUGGUUUCAGGGUUGUGAUUUUACCCCAUCAGGAGCUAACUAUACAACCUACUGCCUUCCCUGGAGGGCAGCAAUACAUCACAAGAUCACACUUACUUCCUUAUCACCUUUCUACUGAGGACAAAAUGGGACAGUCUUAUUUACAAAGGCAGACAAAAGACUGGCAUUCGAUUUCAAAGAUUUUAGGAAAUGGGUAAGUGGUACUGAGCCGUAACAUUGAAUAGCAUCAGUUUACAGAUUUUUACCCAGUUCUGUAAAGAUAGUAUAAAUGUUCUGUUUUAGCAGUAUGCAUGUAUGCUUUUCUUCAAUAAUGAUAUAUUGGCUGGAUAAUAAAUAAUGGCAGAGCAACU